rnacentral:lncRNA from 1 species
AUGGGGCAGGAUAUGGGGUUGAUAUGGGGCGCUAUGGGGUUGCUAUGGGGCACUAUGGGGCAGGCUAUGGGGCGCUAUGGGGCAGGCUAUGGGGCACUAUGGGGCACUAUGGGGUUGCUAUGGGGCAGGCUAUGGGGUUGCUAUGGGGUUGCUAUGGGGCAGGCUAUGAGGCAGGCUAUGGGGUUGCUAUGGUGCAGGCUAUGGGGCAGGCUAUGGGGCGCUAUGGGGCAGGCUAUGGGGCAGGCUAUGGGGCAGACUAUGGGGCGCUAUGGGGCGCUAUGGGGCGCUAUGGGGCUGCAAUGGGGCGCUAUGGGGUUGCAAUGGGGCGCUAUGGGGCAGGCUAUGGGGCACUAUGGGGCAGGCUAUGGGGUUGCUAUGGGGCAGGCUAUGGGGUUGCUAUGGGGCACUAUGGGGCACUAUGGGGUUGCUAUGGGGCAGGCUAUGGGGCGCUAUGGGGCGCUAUGGGGUUGCAAUGGGGCGCUAUGGGGCGCUAUGGGGUUGCAAUGGGGCACUAUGGGGCACUAUGGGGCGCUAUGGCACGCUAUGGGGUUGCUAUGGGGCAGGCUAUGGGGCGCUAUGGGGUUGCUAUGGGGCACUAUGGGGCACUAUGGGGCAGGCUAUGGGGUUGUUAUGGGGCGCUAUGGGGCGCUAUGGGGCGCUAUGGGGCACUAUGGGGCGCUAUGGGGCGCUAUGGGGCGCUAUGGGGCACUAUGGGGCACUAUGGGGCGCUAUGGGGCGCUAUGGGGCACUAUGGGGCGCUAUGGGGUUGCUAUGGGGCGCUAUGGGGUUGCAAUGGGGCGCUAUGGGGCUCUAUGGGGCGCUAUGGGGCGCUAUGGGGCAGGCUAUGGGGCACUAUGGGGUUGCUAUGGGGCGCUAUGGGUCGCUAUGGGGCACUAUGGGGCACUAUGGGGUUGCUAUGGGGCAGGCUAUGGGGCAGGCUAUGGGGUUGCUAUGGGGCAGGCUAUGGGGCACUAUGGGGCACUAUGGGGUUGCUAUGGGGCAGGCUAUGGGGCAGGCUAUGGGGUUGCUAUGGGGCAGGCUAUGGGGCACUAUACCCCUUACCACCCCAAAUUCCCCCACUAUCCCCCAUUCCCCCAUAUCCACCCCAUAUCCCCAUAUCCACCCCUUAACCACCCCAAGUCCCCCAUUUCAUCAACCCAUGAUCCACCCCAAAUCCCCCAAUUAUCCCCAUAUCCACCCCUAUAUCCCCCAAAUAUUCCCCCAUUAUCCACCCAAAUACACCCCAUAUCCCCCAUAUCCACCCAUAUCCUACCCCAUAUCCCCCCAUAUCCACCCCUUAACCACCCCAAGCUCCCCCAUUAUAUCCCCUUAAAUACCCCUUUACCCCCAUAUACCUCCCCAUAUACCUUCCAUAUCCACCCCAAGUAUCCCCCCAAA